GGAUCCAUAGUUUAACGGAUAGAAUAUUCGGUUUCGGCCCGGAUGAUGGGGGUUCAAUUCCUCCUGGAUCCG
rnacentral:tRNA from 1 species